GCGGAAGUAGUUCAGUGGUAGAACACCACCUUGCCAAGGUGGGGGUCGCGAGUUCGAACCUCGUCUUCCGCUUCA
rnacentral:tRNA from 1 species